UAUGAGCUUUGGAAAUCCAGAAAAAAUCACCGUGAACUGUGCUUCACUACAGUGUUAAUUGAGGUACAUGACCACAAAAAUGUUAUUAUCAGCCUGGCUUCACCGUGUGGUCAGAGAAAGUUUACACAACAGAAACCUUUCACUAGAAGAAAGAAAAUUAUGAUGCCAGGACUGUAAAAAUACAGCGACCUCUAAUGAAGAUCCACACUCAGAAUCUGAAACUGACAGUGACAGACGAUAAUAUUAUGUCAACAAAUCACAGUGGAUGAUGGUAGUGCUACAAACAUAGAUUACACAGAUCUGGACAGCUUGAUCUAGCUUAUACAGUACAUCAUUAUUCUCAUACAUACCUUGUGUUGUUGUUGUUUUCAUUCAUGCUGCAGUUGGCUACACAUGACUGAGUCUUGUUGUAGUUUUAUGACAAUUUAUUACAUCAUCAUUAUGAAUAUCAUUAAAAUAUUUGAGGUUUACAUUACGUAAUGCUUCCUGUCUUGUCUUAGAAAUACUGGAAUGUUGGGGGUCUUAGGGCAGACUGUUAGUAAGUAACUUUCUUGGAAAGAAUUUCCUCCUGGUACAGACAUGUUCAGAAGAUUCUGGAUACAGCCUCUAGUCGACUAGAAUCCGGACCACGGGCGUUUUUCUCAGAAUUGCGUUUGCUUCCAAGAGGCAGAUGACCUCUCAGGCUCCACUUUUCUUACCUACGCAAUUCCGCCAUCUUUAAAUGACUGCCACAGCAACGCACAUGGCAACUUAUGAGGUGGGCGUGGCUGUGACAUCGAUAAACACAAAACCUCCUUUCUUCAGCUCAGCUCUCCAUUCUCUCACUUCAGGUACGUAUGCUAUUUAUGCUAGACGUAUGCACUGACUGGAUGUACCAUAGGCCUCCAUGCUUUUGCACUUGGAAGUACAUCUACAGUAUAACCAUAGAUAGUAGAGGGGAGGGAUUGGAAACAUCUCAGGUGACCAAUGUAUUGCCCUAGAGAAUUCUGACACCAUGCGUGUUGCAUUCCGCAAGUAUUGAUUGCGAUUGAUUGCGAGCCAGAUGCAAAGACAAAAGAGAAGAAAGUGAAGAAAACUGCAGGGUACUCAGAAAAUCAGAAAAUCUGCCAAGACCCUUUUAUGCCAACGGCAGAGGCGAGGGACACAUGAUAACCCCACUGUUAUGUAUUAUGAUUAGUAAAUUCUUUUGCAAGAGCUAAACAGUGACCGAUGACGAGAUUACACCAUUGCCUAAAAGGGCGUCAGGCUCAUAAAAAUUAUGUUUUGUGUUUGUAAACAUUUUUAUGUAAACAUCAAAAUUGUUUGAUUGUG